rnacentral:rRNA from 1 species
ACUCAAAUGAAUUGACGGGCACCCGCACAAGCGGUGGAGCAUGCUGUUUAAUUCGAAAAUACGCGAAGAACCUUACCUAGGUUUGACAUCCCUCGCAAAGCUAUAGAGAUAUAGUGGAGGCUAUCGGGGUGACAGAUGGUGCAUGGUUGUCGUCAGCUCGUGUCGUGAGAUGUUUGGUUAAGUCCAACAACGAGCGCAACCCUUAUUGUUAGUUGCUAACAUUUAGUUGAGAACCCUAACAAUACUGCCGAUGCAAGUCGGAGGAAGGUGGGGAUGAGGUCAAAUCAUCAUGCCUCUUACAUCUAGGGCUACAGGCGUGCUACAAUGGCUUAUACAACGAGUCGCAACACAGUGAUGUGAAGCAAAUCUCUUAAAGUAGGUCUAAGUUCGGAUUGGAGUCUGCAACUCGACUCCAUGAAGUUGGAAUCGCUAGUAAUCCCGAAUCAGAAUGUCGGGGUGAAUACGUUCUCGGGUGUUGCACACACCGCCCGU